GAUUCUACACUCUCAGGCGCAUGUGCAAACGACCUGUCACAUCCGUACGUGUCAAAAAGCAUCGGCGCCUUUCUUCUCCAUACUUAUUCUCCUUUGAAAACGAAUUAAACGACUGUCAGGUUGUAUCGUGGGAUUUGCGAAAGAGCAGUUUUUGUCGAUGCUCAAUGCGUUCUACUUGAUUUCUGUCUGUAGCCGUCUCGCACGCAUACAACGCAAGUGGAAUUGUGCAAACUUUCAGUGUCCCUACUCAUCGCCUUUCCAUACUACCACUGUAGGUGUAACUCUUCUUCGAGUACCACGAACUCCUGCACUACUACUCCUGGAUCCAGAUUAGCAACGGACGUCAAAUCGUAAGUUUAUCCAUCACGAAGAUUCGUUAGAUGAUUGCGAGUGACGUGAGUAAACUUCAUGGACCUUGAACCUUCCGUGAGUAGGUACAGCAACGUAAAAUUGGAUAAUUCGCAUAGAGAAGGUCAGCUGGAUUGGUCUUCUGUGAAAAAAAGAUAAUAAUAAUAAAUUAUAGCGAUGAAGAUAGAUCUAUACCUGGUGGUCGUGUGAAUAAAGUAUCUACAGUGGAAGGACAUCUUUUCGGCCAAGGUCGAGGUAAAUUAAUCACUACGCUUCGGGGUGAGGACGCGAUAUACAUAUAUGUAUGUAUAGAACGUAGAGAGUCGAGAACUUUCCAUGUCCUCGAAGACCCCAGGAGAGGAUCGGCUUUUAUCUUCUUCAGCUGACAAGCCUGACGACCUUGGCGACGCGAUCGUGACCUAAUCGUUAUUGAAUACAGGGUUACACAGCUUGGAUGGAACAAACAUUGAUGACAACUGUCAUAAGUUCAUUCUGGUUCAUUAUCAGAUGGUCUCGUGUCUUCCAAGUGGAUCAGUAUUUAUAUCUAUGUUUCUACAGACUCGCUUUUCUUCGGUUGAAGAUCUUUUUAUGGACUAACAAUCUCCUCGUAGUCUUUGGCUGUAAGCGUGCGAGUUAAUUGACAUAAAAUUAACUGCAAACACUGAGGUGGUAUGCCACUGGAGUUCGUCGUACGUUCGUAGGUUGGCACUAACUUGACUGAACGUUAAUUAUUCUGCAAAUGGUUCGAACGAUGCGCACAGCAUUGAUAAACUGCAGAACGAAGAUUUCCUGUUUGCGGAAAGGAUUUCUUUCCCCGGAACAACUACGUGACUCAGUACGUUGGUUGUUACGCUAAUUUGCAAUCCUCGUGAAAUAUUCGAGAUUCUCCAUUGUGCGCUGUGUACUCGUUUCGACGGAAAUGAACGUAUUGGCCGUGACGUAGCGGAUCACUUCCGUUCAUCCUAUGGAAAUAUUCCGAAAAAUUUUGCUAAUGCCUAUUUGUCAUUUUGGCCAUAAACUUUUUACACACAGAGCACCAAGUUGUUAAGCUUAAGUCUAUUUACAAAAUUGUAUAAAUGGCAGUAGAUCUUAAGAGCAAUUUUCGUAUUAGGAUAAAAACAAACAAUUUUUAAAUAUCUCUCGUCAAACAUAAUUGUGUAUUCCUGCGAACCUGAUCGCUGUAGAGUAUAAACAAAAAUUUUCCACAACUUGAAAGAGAUCUAUGGAUCCUAACGUUUUUCUAAGUACUUAGCGUCCACUCGAUAAUCAUCCACGAAUUAGUGAGAAACAUUUCGAUCAACACUGAGAUAGCGCGAACAGAGAUAUAUUUGUGUAUUUACUAUGAGAUGAUUAGGUGCUAAUGAGAUAAUGUCACUUUAUCAAAUAUGUACGAAAUCGCGUUGACGAUAGAUUGUAAAAAGGAGGGAAAAAAAAUGUUUUUUUCUUCUAUACCUUCUAGCGAUGAUUUUGAUCGUAUGAGAUGUCACGAGGGCAGAAAUACGAUCGAGCGAAAAGUCAUUAUUCUCGGGCUGGCAUAGAUAAGAGAUUUACCGAAGGUACCAGGAAUGUCAGCGAGCAGAGCAAAUUUAUGAAAAACAUUGUUGACAGGCGUUUUUAAGAAUUUCGUUGUUAAUAUCAGUGAAUUAUGAUCAGAAUAUUAAUUCAAACGAUGAAAUUCUCUUGCGCGUACACAUUUCUUGUAGCUAUUGGAAUUUAAUGGAAAAUUUUGGAAAAAAUAAGAAACAUUGCAAAUUACUACCAUAAGUCAUACGUUACUUAGGACUGGUGGAUGGGGAAAAAAGUAGCUCAUUAAAACACUUGCAAAUAACGUUGAAACUGGUGGGAAAAAAAAAAUUAUGAUCGUCGACAUUGAACCAAAUACUUAUAUGAAUGCAAUACGGCAAGGCGCCCUCGUUCCCUCGAUUCCGUUUCUUGAAGAAAUUACGUAAUCAGUCAAUUUACCACGGAGGCGUCAAAAACAAGUGAUUAUAAAAAAAAAAAGCGAAAAAAAUAUGUCUAACAACGAACUACUUAAUAAAUUGUAGUGAUAACGAUCGCGUUACUAUUAGAUGCGUCUGCAUGUAUUUAAUUAUAUGAGUGUAUGAUACAAAAUCAAUUAUUCCCGUAAAGCGAUUGAGAAAAAUAUUCAGAUUUCAUGAUAUUUUUUAGGAAAUUUUGAAUACUACGCGGCGAACGUGUUUUUUGAUUUAUCGAAAUUCUGAUUUUCCAAGAGAGAAGUCGAUAGCGGAUAACCAUAAAAAAAAAACAUACACAAGCUGUAAACUGCCAGUCGUAAAGAACCAUAGACCGUAUAAGGAUAAGGCCUGUUUGCAUGAAAAGAUCCAUCGGCAAAUAUUCAUCCCGGAUUUAGUAUAAUUUUCUCAUAAGCUUUGUUAAUUCAAUCUCGAUGAGAAUUCGAUCAUGUUAAUAAUUUUUUUAUUCCCUCCAGCUUCCUCAUAGAAACAAUCAAUUGGUUAUGCACCUUCGACAGAUUCAUAAUUUAUCCAACUACCUGAAGAAGACAUAAUUAUAUUGCUGUCGUAAUUUACAUUUUAAGCUGAUACCGAGCUCUGUCGCUCAACUCGUAAACUUUACUGUGAAUCCUUCUUGAUUCAGCAGUGAUAAUAGACUGAAAAUCAGACGGAAUUAUUCAGCAUUAAAAAAAUUCAUAGAAACCUCAAGUAUUGGCUGGAUGCUCAAUUACUGGUGACGCCAGCGUGUCUCUUUUUCGAUGAGUGAAAUAUCUGUUGUCGACAAAGACAUGAAGAAGUGACGAGUACAUCGUGCAAGAUAAUUAAGACGUAAUUAAUUCGUACGAGACAUCAGACUUACAUCAUUCAAUUGAAAAGAUCACGUAGAGUACGGGGAAUCCUUACUAGAUCGUUCCAGUUUGAUCUGGUUGAUCCAAUAUAUUUUCGUCGUGGUUUCACACCGUCACGAGUUAUUAAUCCAAUCUUACCACUUUCGAUCAUUAAAAGUCAGAGCUAAAAAGUGGAAAAACAAAUGGAUAAUAUUCCAUGAAACAAGAAAAUCCGAAGUUGAGUCCACAAGCAUACCUGAAACAUACGAGGCCUUGUGAACCUAUUACGAGAAUAUACAAGAGUAAUUACGUAAUCUCGUGAUUCUUCAGCGAAGCAUCUAGAAACCGUAUGUGUGACGUUUUACAAUCGUAAUGGGAUACCGCUUCUUUGGGCCGCCAUCCCGAAGAACUUCGAACAACUCACGUGGAAGAUAGGGACGCCAAUUGGUAUUUCUUACUCGUUAAAAUACUCAGAACGUUCUGGGUCUUCGAGUAGCAUAUCGGCUAAAAAGGCUUUUAUCUAGUCACGAGCUCAUUGUCUCACCGAUUUCCUUUUCGUGUCGCCAAAUGACAAGAACCUUCGAAACAAUGGACUCGUGCUUGCUACCUGGAAGGAGAAUAAAGGAUAGGUGAAAAAAAAAAAUCUUUCCAGAAAAGAGGGAUAAAUAAAGAGAAGAAAGAAUACCGUAAGGAAAGGUACAGCAACAGUCAUCGCCGGUGUGCUUUGAGAAACAAUGGCGGCUGCCGGUCAAUUAUAUUAAUUAACAUUGAAGGUUGUCACCUAAUAAGUGCAACGAUAGGCGGAAUACACUUCUAAAUAUCCAUUCAAAUUAUCUUCAUUCGUAUCCAAUUGUGCGCCGCCAUAUUAAUCACUUCCUGUACAGGACUAUAGUGUAUACAAAUAUAAAGGCUAAAUAUACAUUUUCAUGAAGCGUCGAUAAAUGGAGUUUCAUAUAUGAAGAUCAAGAGGAUCAUCAAUAAAUGAGUAACAAAGUCAAAAGAAUAUAUUAUACCAAAAUACUUUAUUGAAUAUUGCCCGAUAGUCAAGGGUGUGUGUGUGUGUGUACAGAAUGGAGACCUUUAAAGUGAGACCGGUUUCAAAAUGGCCGCCGGCAUUGAUACUCUCCCGUACAGGAAAUCUCCACGCGCGGCGUCGCCGAUGCAAAUACCAAGGGUACCUCUUGUGGAUAAAACGGAAGGAUCCGAUCGGUAUCUGUGGAACUUUCGCAGGAAUUAGCAAUUUCCGAGGUCCCCGUGAAGCAGCUGGAAGGUCUUGCGUUUGCCUUGCGAUUGGCUAGACUCGUCGAUUUUCCAGUAAACACAGCGUGAACUCGGAAAGUCUUGGCUUCCUUAUCAUUGAUAAGGGCGAAUAUCCAGAUAGGCCACGAUUCUACGACUGGUUUGGCCGAUGACUUUUGCUACGACCGCGAGAUGGCGCGUGAAAACAACAUGACAUAAUGGCAUGUCAUUCUGAAAUUAUGAUGGUGACGACUGAGGAGAGGAUACUCUGUACCAAUCACGAGUAUCAAGUCGUUUGAAAAGUAUUAGCAACGUUUCCAAGAAUGUGAAGGAGGAAAGAAAGAGGUUAGGACGAUCAUAAAGAAGAAUAACAAGAAGAAAUAAAACUGCUGGUCGAUCAGUCGUUAUGAAAUUGAGAUCAUGUUAUGGCGAUACUUGCAAAAAUUAAUCAGUCACACCAGGUAUCCAUUCUCAUGAUAGUUCAAGAGUAACCCAAUACUCUGUGGACAAUGCACGCGAAAGACAAGCAGAAGAUUGUAACGUAAAAGUCAGCCCUGAGGAAAACCCUCUGUAGUAGCUACCUGUCGUCGUAGUUCGUUGAAAAUCGACGUCACUCGUAACCUUAUGUUAAAAUAAUUAUAGAAAAUUGAAAGAUCAAGCUCUUCGACUGCAUCAAAAGUGCAACGUGCAUUUACAUAUAGAUUCUGGAAGAUCUUCC